GGGCCACAGCUUGGUGGCAGAGCAUCUGCUUUGCACGCAAAAGGUCCCAGGUUCAGUCCCUGGCAUCUCCA